UCUGGCCCAAACCCACAAUCUUUAGCUCUAAUAUGAACUUUUGGACUUGACAUUUAGGCCUAUCACAUAACAUGUAGACCUAUAACGUCUAGAUGUUCUGUUGUCUCCUCUGCAAUUCAUCGGAAACGUCAUCUCCUCUGCAGUUCAUCGGAACCGUCGUUGCUUCAUUCAUGGCUGGAGACAUUUGCUCAUCUGGAAUCCCAUGAAUAAGACGUUGUUGGCCGGCUCUUACGAUUUUGGGAUGCCCGUAAUAUUAAAAAAACGGUGAAUUCAUGGGCAUAGUCGUCCUCUUGCUCGACGAGAAGGUAACAUAUAAAUAUAUCCUUCUAAAUUUCAAUUUUAGUAGUUAUUUUGGUCUAAAAAAUGGUUACUUAAUUUGUCGUGCCUUUUAUUUUUCUUAUAUGUAAUUGUUUAGUGUUAGUGUUGUUCCAUAACUUAAUCCAUUUUACAACUAUCACAUGUCUGGGAUUGAUUUUGCAAAAACUUAGUUUUAGUUGUUUGGUUUCUUUAGCCGUUUGAAUAGUCUCAUCUCUACUUAUGAGUGGUGAUCUUAAAGUGAAAUGAUAGUCAAAUGCAUGAUUUAUAUAUUCUCGAUGAGAAGGUUGCGUUUAAGAAUCUCCUUUCAAUUUUAAUAUAUAUAUAUAAACAUUUACACAUUUUUUUUGCAGUGUUCACUAAUCCACUGUUUUAUCCCAGCUGUUCGUGCCAGCCAAUUCCGCAAUGUUUUACAAGAAGGGCGAAUCUUUUGUGUUGGAGGGUUUGAAGUGGGAAGGUGCACAAACCUCUACAAAAUUACUGACAACCCAUUUGUCAUCCGUUUCCUACCUUCAACAACAAUUGUUGAAGUGAAUCACGUUGGAGCUACAAUAGAAAGAGAAAAAUUUAUGCUUCGCAAAGGAAAUCAUCUCCAAGCUCUUGCAAACAUUAAUCUUGAACUACCAGGUCUACCAUUGUGUACCUAUCAUUAUGGGAUGACGCAGCUGCAACCUUUCAAGCUUAUCUCACUUCUGGAGACACGAUAAAUUCUGUCAUGUUGGUAACUACAAUAAAUCCAAAGCUGUUUGGAGGUAAUUUGUAUUUGAACUCCACUCCAACAACCCGGUUUUAUUUCGACCUUUCCAUUGAGGCAAUCAACCAAUUUACAAAAAGGUCAUGCUUAUUACAACUAAUAAUUUCAAAGUACCAUUGAGGUUAUCAAAAUCUAACCGAGUUGUUUCUUAUGGAGGAUGGGAAUAGAAGCUACCAAGCAUUUGCAAAAGCAGACACAUCCGAAGGAAUAAAAAAAAAGAAAUGCUUUGCAUUGCUGAACUUUACAAGUUCAUAUCAAACUCUAAUGAACAGACACAGGAAGCUGAUUUCAUUUGCACCGCCAAAGUUCCUGAUGUCCUACAAAAAAGUGGUUGGUCAUAUGUUUCAUGUGCUAUGUGCAGCCGCAAAUUAGACAAAUAUGGAACAACCUUACGAUGCCCAAAAUGCAUUUCUGAGACUGUCACUGGCGUUGUGAGGUAUUAAAAUAUUUCACUGGCGAAUUUCUUCUUGAUGCAAGAAGUUUAAAAGCUGUUGCUAUUGAACACCCAAAGGGUGCUAAGAAAGAAAUUGAUUCCAUUUAUUACAUAGACUAUGAAAACUA